UACGUAGGGGGCAAGCGUUGUCCGGAUUUAUUGGGCGUAAAGAGCGUGUAGGCGGUCAGGUAGGUCCGUUGUGAAAACUCGAGGCUCAACCUCGAGACGCCGAUGGAAACCAUCUGACUAGAGUCCGGAAGAGGAGAGUGGAAUUCCUGGUGUAGCGGUGAAAUGCGCAGAUAUCAGGAAGAACACCCGUGGCGAAGGCGACUUACUGGACACAUAUUGACGCUGAGGUGCGAAAGCGUGGGGAGCAAACAGG
rnacentral:rRNA from 1 species